AUGUGGCCUAAGCUUAGUUUUGCCACCCCCCCCUCCCCGCCCAAUCCUAAGAUGUGGGCUAAGCAUUUCCAUUGGGGAGAGGGCUUGAUAUGUUGUGAAUUACUACUGCAGCUAGUUCAUCAUCCGCAACCAAAUAGGAAAAUAGUCAUUCCAUUUGAUUCUAUUUUCAUUGGAGUGUGUUUGUUUCGCAAAACCGUCCGCAAGGUUGCAUUUGAUGUAGGUUUUGCAUUCAUCUUUGUAUUUAUACCCGGAGUAUUUCUAUUCAUUUCCAUGUCCUGUAAAUACAUAAAAAUACAUACAGUAAAACUAAUAUAG
rnacentral:rRNA from 1 species